rnacentral:rRNA from 1 species
AUUGAACGCUGGCGGCAGGCCUAACACAUGCAAGUCGAACGAGUGGCGGACGGGUGAGUAAUGUCUGGGAAACUGCCUGAUGGAGGGGGAUAACUACUGGAAACGGUAGCUAAUACCGCAUACCAUCGGAUGUGCCCAGAGGGGAUUAGCUUGUUGGUGGGGUAACGGCUCACCAAGGCGACGCUCCCUAGCUGGUCUGAGAGGAUGACCAGCCACACGGGAACUGGUACACGGUCUAGACGCCUACGGGAGGCAGCAGGGGUGAAUAUUGCACAAUGGGCGCAAUCCGGAUGCAGCCAUGCCGCGUGUAUGAAGAAGGCCUUCGGGUUGUAAAGUACUUUCAGCGGGGAGGCGUUACCCGCAGAAGAAGCACCGGCUAACUCCGUGCCAGCAGCCGCGGUAAUAC